rnacentral:rRNA from 1 species
GCGGCUAACAAACUCUAACAAUAGUUCACUAUAUUGUUCGCCAGAGUACUACAAGCGCUAGCUUAAAACCCAAAGGACUUGGCGGUGUCCCAAACCCACCUAGAGGAGCCUGUUCUGUAACCGAUAAUCCCCGUUAAACCUCACCACUUUCUAGCCAUUCCCGUCUAUAUACCGCCGUCGUCAGCUCACCCUGUGAAGGCUUAAAAGUAAGCAAAAAGAACCAACUUCCACACGUCAGGUCGAGGUGUAGCGAAUGAAGUGGAUAGAAAUGGGCUACAUUUUCUAUAAAGAAAACACGAAUGGUAAACUGAAAAAUUACCUAAAGGUGGAUUUAGCAGUAAGAAAAGACUAGAGAGCUUCUCUGAAACCGGCUCUGGGACGCGCACACACCCCAAAUCCCCACCACAAAAAAAAGACGGUUUCCCCAUAAAUGCCGGUUUUUUUUUGGGGAGAGGGAUUUCCUCAGGGGGGGUGUGGGGGGGUGGGAGGGAGAAAAAAACCCUCGGGGGGGGGGGGGGGUGGGGGGG